UAACCUUUCCCAAGCCUAAGCAAAGGACC
rnacentral:piRNA from 1 species